rfam:Sphaerobolus stellatus SS14 unplaced genomic scaffold SPHSTscaffold_33, whole genome shotgun sequence.
GAUGAUGUAGCCAAGUGGUUAUGGGGAUUGAUUAGAUAUCAACUCCUCUUUGGGGGGGUAGGUUUGAAUCCUGCCAUCGUUG